GUAACAGGUCUUCGGAUGCUGACGAGUGGCGAACGGGUGAGUAAUACAUCGGAACGUGCCCGAUCGUGGGGGAUAACGCAGCGAAAGCUGUGCUAAUACCGCAUACGAUCUACGGAUGAAAGCGGGGGAUCGCAAGACCUCGCGCGGACGGAGCGGCCGAUGGCAGAUUAGGUAGUUGGUGGGAUAAAAGCUUACCAAGCCGACGAUCUGUAGCUGGUCUGAGAGGACGACCAGCCACACUGGGACUGAGACACGGCCCAGACUCCUACGGGAGGCAGCAGUGGGGAAUUUUGGACAAUGGGCGCAAGCCUGAUCCAGCCAUGCCGCGUGCAGGAUGAAGGCCUUCGGGUUGUAAACUGCUUUUGUACGGAACGAAAAAGCUCUCUCUAAUACAGGGGGUGAAUGACGGUACCGUAAGAAUAAGCACCGGCUAACUACGUGCCAGCAGCCGCGGUAAUACGUAGGGUGCAAGCGUUAAUCGGAAUUACUGGGCGCAAAGCGUGCGCAGGCGGUUAUGUAAGACAGAGGUGAAAUCCCCGGGCUCAACCUGGGAACUGCCUUUGUGACUGCAUAGCUGGAGUGCGGCAGAGGGGGAUGGAAUUCCGCGUGUAGCAGUGAAAUGCGUAGAUAUGCGGAGGAACACCGAUGGCGAAGGCAAUCCCCUGGGCCUGUACUGACGCUCAUGCACGAAAGCGUGGGGAGCAACAGGAUAGAUACCUGGUAGUCACGCCCUAACGAUGUCACUGGUUGUG
rnacentral:rRNA from 1 species